rnacentral:lncRNA from 1 species
UUUUCAUUUGCAGAUAGGGGGGAGAGAGAGCGUACGAGAAAAUAAAAGAGAGAAUUCUAGAAAGAAUGAGAAAAAGAAGGAUCCAGGGUUUGUUAUGGUUCAAUCAACCAGAUCUCUACAAACACACAUACGGAAUCAACCAGAUCUCGAAAACUACACAUACGGAACCCUAGAUUUUCUUGAUCUGGAACCCUAGCCUCCCUCCUCCACAUCUCCAAUACGCUAUCUUCCCUUACACGCACAAAGAUGAUGUUGGACGACAAAGAACUGGAGAUGAAGGAAGAACGACUAUGAAAUCGAAAACACUCAGGGUUAAACACCGAUUUGAAGAAACUUUAACAGAUUUGCAGGAACCUCCACAUCUCCAAUACGCUAUCUUCCCUUAAUUUAGAGAGAGAGAGAGAGAUAGCACGUACCUGGUCGACCUAAUCUCUGAUCUCCUGUGCUGAUGCUAAAAUAACGUUUAGGGUUCUGCAGAUCUUGAAUAUACCAGCUGCCUUGAAGUUUGAAUCCGCUUUUAGGGCUGGGGCGAGCCAGGGAGGUUACGGGACCGAGGAAGAUGACAAAAAUUUGUAGAUCUGAGUAUUCUAGCAACAUUCAGGAGUUUUACAUUCAGAUAUGUGUUUGUUUCUUCUUCAGAUCUGAGUUUUACAUUCAGAUCUGUUAGGUUUGUUUACUUAUUAUGAUUUUUAGUUUUCAAUUUGGAUUCAUUUGUUGAAAUAAUGGUUUAAAUAAGAUAAAUUGAUGUUACAACAUUGAUUUUCUGAAAUUUUGAUCGAACAAGAAGUAAUUUAUUAACUGUCGACCUUAAUUUGUUGGAUAUGGAGUUGUUCUUUAGUGUUUUUUUUCUUUUGGUUUGAUUUUGGAGUAAACCCUAGCUGUUAAGUGUGUUUUGUAGCAACUUUUAACCCUACCACACAUCGAUUAGCCUUUGCAACCAUCUUCCCUGUUCUUCGUCAUCACCGAAUGGCACCCAGCAACCUGAAGUUGCAGACCUAGGGUUUUGAAUACCCAAUUUCAGGCAAAAGAAGAUUUAUAGAAGAAGUUGAGAGCGUUGAUCUUUGUGUCAGUUGAGUACAGAGCAGGAGAUCGACAUUGUUUUGAGUACUCCGGCCGAAAAUAUUCCAAGGAGGAUCUGUGAUUCCAUGUUGAAGUUUUUGGAAAUUGGGAAGACCAUGCUGGGAUUUCAGAAUUCUUCAGAUUCCUGGUGAUUUCUUGUGCAUAUUCAAGAGUUUACCCCCUCAUAUAUCCAAGGAUUUCAACCUGGUGAAGCUUUUGUGGUCCGAAAUGUGGCUAACCUUGUUCCACCACUUCAGGAUGUAUGUGUUGAUUUGCCUAAUUUAUCAUUGGAAUGGACUCUUGAAAGGCUUGAGCCUGCUGGACUUUGUAAGAUGGCUUGUGUUUGCACUUAUUAAGAGACAUGUGUUUAAGUGAUUAUCUGUGGAAAGUCAUUACCUUUGUAUAUUAAUCUUGUUGAAUGAAUAUAAUAUGUUUAAUUUAUAAUUUGUCCAAACAUGUAUUAACAUACUAUAUGAGCAUUGGCAAGAGCUUGAAGUUGCCAUCGUAAUACCUUUAGACAAUUAACAUUGGAGUGGACAAAUGAGAUACAGAUACUUAGCUACUUGCAUCCAAUUUUAUUUGCAGUCCUCUACAAAGUUCUUCCUAUUUUUACAUCCUAAUGCUCCACUCUUUAUGGUAAGAUAAUUAUCUUUGCUCUUAGUGAGUUCUAUGUUGUCAAAAGCGAGCCAGGCGUGCGCCUAGGCGCAGAGGCGCAGCGAGGCGUGACUAAACCGCCUGGUGGAGUCAUAGGCGAAGAUCUGCGAUUUUUUUUCAAAAAUCGGCAUCCAUGCACGCGCUCGAAGCUAGACGCAGGUGACUACAGGCGUUCUUCAGGCGAGAUUUUGGCCAGAACGGCUGAUGAUGAAGUUGAUGAUGAAGUUGUUACAUUUUGGAAGUAUAUGAAUAUUGUCGAAGCAGAUGAUGAAGUUGAUGAUCCUGGUUUGUUAGAAGCUGCUGAUUGUUUAUCAACAAUCUUUGUAAACUUAUGUUUUAUACAAUUUUAUCCUUAUUUUUGGUUGGUCACAAAGAUUACAAAUGGCAAUUGCUGUAGAACAAAACGUAUCUUAUUUGGUUUUUGUUUUCCAAACAGAUUCAAGAGUUCAUGAUUUUAAACCAACACUUUCACUUUGUGCCGAUCAAUCAACAACGACCCCAUAUUAUUCCAGCUGAUUGUUAUAUGCUCUUUUAGUUUUUUUAGAAAGGAUGUAAAGGGACUUGGCGACACUUUGGCAGGGGCUUACCCAGGUCGCUUCGAUUUUCAUUUGAAAGAAAGACAAUCUUGACAAUCUGCCAUUGUAGCAGCUGCUUUUUGUUUAGCACUCAAGUAUGUGAUUGGUUCCAUCAUAGCUCCGAAGAAGACAAAGUUGCCAUUGGAGAAAUUUCCAGACGAUUGGACUAGAGAGCAAGUUGCUGAGAAAUUUCCGCAACGCCGCAGCCAGCGCAACCCCAGCGAACGCAGCCGCAUCGACGCAGUGAGCGCUGCCGCAGCGAGCACAACCCUAGCCAGC